rnacentral:rRNA from 1 species
GGUGGUGCAUGGUUGUCGUCAGCUCGUGUCGUGAGAUGUUGGGUUAAGUCCCGCAACGAGCGCAACCCUUAAGCUUAGUUGCCAGCAUUCAGUUGGGCACUCUAAGGUGACUGCCGGUGACAAACCGGAGGAAGGUGGGGAUGACGUCAAAUCAUCAUGCCCCUUAUGACCUGGGCUACACACGUGCUACAAUGGACGGUACAAACGGUUGCCAACCCGCGAGGGGGAGCUAAUCCGAUAAAACCGUUCUCAGUUCGGAUUGUAGGCUGCAACUCGCCUACAUGAAGCCGGAAUCGCUAGUAAUCGUGGAUCAGCAUGCCACGGUGAAUACGUUCCCGGGUUUGUACACAC